GACGAACGCUGGCGGCGUGCCUAAUACAUGCAAGUCGAACGCUUCUUUCCUCCCGAGUGCUUGCACUCAAUUGGAAAGAGGAGUGGCGGACGGGUGAGUAACACGUGGGUAACCUACCCAUCAGAGGGGGAUAACACUUGGAAACAGGUGCUAAUACCGCAUAACAGUUUAUGCCGCAUGGCAUAAGAGUGAAAGGCGCUUUCGGGUGUCGUUGAUGGAUGGACCCGCGGUGCAUUGGCUAGUUGGUGAGGUAACGGCUCACCAAGGCCACGAUGCAUAGCCGACCUGAGAGGGUGAUCGGCCACACUGGGACUGAGACACGGCCCAGACUCCUACGGGAGGCAGCAGUAGGGAAUCUUCGGCAAUGGACGAAAGUCUGACCGAGCAACGCCGCGUGAGUGAAGAAGGUUUUCGGAUCGUAAAACUCUGUUGUUAGAGAAGAACAAGGACGUUAGUAACUGAACGUCCCCUGACGGUAUCUAACCAGAAAGCCACGGCUAACUACGUG
rnacentral:rRNA from 1 species